rnacentral:rRNA from 1 species
GACGAACGCUGGCGGCGUGCCUAAUACAUGCAAGUUGAGCGCUGAAGGUUGGUACUUGUACCCACUGGAUGAGCAGCGAACGGGUGAGUAACGCGUGGGGAAUCUGCCUUUGAGCGGGGGACAACAUUUGGAAACGAAUGCUAAUACCGCAUAAAAACUUUAAACACAAGUUUUAAGUUUGAAAGAUGCAAUUGCAUCACUCAAAGAUGAUCCCGCGUUGUAUUAGCUAGUUGGUGAGGUAAAGGCUCACCAAGGCGAUGAUACAUAGCCGACCUGAGAGGGUGAUCGGCCACAGUGGGACUGAGACACGGCCCAAACUCCUACGGGAGGCAGCAGUAGGGAAUCUUCGGCAAUGGACGAAAGUCUGACCGAGCAACGCCGCGGGAGUGAAGAAGGGUGUCGGAUCGUAAAACUCUGUUGGUAGAGAAGAACGUUGGUGAGAGUGGAAAGCUCAUCAAGUGACGGUAACUACCCAGAAAGGGACGGCUAACUACGUG